CACGUAUCCAACCUGCCGUCUACUCUUGGCCAGCCUUCUGAAAGGAAGAUUAAUCCAGGAUGGGAUCAUGAGUUCACAUGUCCGCAUGAUUAAAGGUAUUUUCCGGUAGACGAUGGGGAUGCGUUCCAUUAGAUAGUAGGCGGGGUAACGGCCCACCUAGUCAACGAUGGAUAGGGGUUCUGAGAGGAAGGUCCCCCACAUUGGAACUGAGACACGGUCCAAACUCCUACGGGAGGCAGCAGUGAGGAAUAUUGGUCAAUGGGCGAUGGCCUGAACCAGCCAAGUAGCGUGAAGGAUGACUGCCCUAUGGGUUGUAAACUUCUUUUAUAAAGGAAUAAAGUCGGGUAUGCAUACCCGUUUGCAUGUACUUUAUGAAUAAGGAUCGGCUAACUCCGUGCCAGCAGCCGCGGUAAUACGGAGGAUCCGAGCGUUAUCCGGAUUUAUUGGGUUUAAAGGGAGCGUAGAUGGAUGUUUAAGUCAGUUGUGAAAGUUUGCGGCUCAACCGUAAAAUUGCAGUUGAUACUGGAUGUCUUGAGUG
rnacentral:rRNA from 1 species